rnacentral:rRNA from 1 species
UGAGGAAUAUUGGUCAAUGGCCGGGAGGCUGAACCAGCCAAGUCGCGUGAGGGAAGACGGUCCUAUGGAUUGUAAACCUCUUUUGUCAGGGAGCAAAAACCUGCCACGCGUGGCAGGAUGAGAGUACCUGAAGAAAAAGCAUCGGCUAACUCCGUGCC